CAGACUCAUUCCUAGGGCAGGCUCUUCAGAACAGCAAAAGUCACAGGGGCUCACAGGACAACCGCUCAAAUAUUCCCUUACAACGUAGGGUGCAGAUGUUACAAGGGAGACUAAUGCCGGCAGCAACUCACAAGCUCUCAAUAAAGUCUGAACACGCCACACGUUCUUAUCACUCUGUACCUGUUUUACCAGCACAGGUAACAGACGGAUGCAGGGAGCUUCAAAGAAACCAGACUCCGGGGCUCAGGGGAUUCACUGACUAAAGAACAUCAAAAACCGUUUGUAGAAGAGGAAGAUCAGUCAAAAACUGACACUGCAACACAAAUAAAUCUCCUGAGCCGAGAUGUAGCCUCAGCUGGUAAAACCCAUGGCAGGAGACUAAUGCGGAGGAAAACUCUACAAGGAUCUCUGCGUGGAGUAUCUCCCUCCUCGUUCUACCCAGGGUGUGGAAUGGGCCAUGGGGAACACCCCAACCUUCAGGAACCAAAGGCUGAGGUACACAACUGCUCUUGGGAUUAGGUAC